rnacentral:rRNA from 1 species
AGAGUUUGAUCAUGGCUCAGAAUCAACGCUGGCGGCGUGCCUAACACAUGCAAGUCGAACGAGAAAGUGGAGCAAUCCAUGAGUAAAGUGGCGCACGGGUGAGUAACACGUGACUAACCUACCCUUGAGUGGGGGAUAACUGAGGGAAACCUUAGCUAAUACCGCAUAACACCUACGGGUCAAAGGAGCAAUUCGCUCGAGGAGGGGGUCGCGGCCGAUUAGUUAGUUGGCGGGGUAACGGCCCACCAAGACGAUGAUCGGUAUCCGGCCUGAGAGGGCGCACGGACACACUGGAACUGAAACACGGUCCAGACUCCUACGGGAGGCAGCAGUGGGGAAUUUUGCGCAAUGGGGGAAACCCUGACGCAGCAACGCCGCGUGGAGGAUGAAGUCCUUCGGGACGUAAACUCCUUUCGAUCGGGACGAUUAUGACGGUACCGGAAGAAGAAGCCCCGGCUAACUUCGUGCCAGCAGCCGCGGUAAUACGAGGGGGGCGAGCGUUGUUCGGAAUUAUUGGGCGUAAAGGGUGCGUAGGCGGUUUGGUAAGUCUUAUGUGAAAUCUAUGGGCUUAACUCAUAGACUGCAUGAGAAACUGCCGGGCUCGAGUGUGGGAGAGGUGAGUGGAAUUUCCGGUGUAGCGGUGAAAUGCGUAGAUAUCGGAAGGAACACCUGUGGCGAAAGCGGCUCACUGGACCACAACUGACGCUGAUGCACGAAAGCUAGGGGAGCAAACAGGAUUAGAUACCCCGGUAGUCC